ensembl:lncRNA
CAGCGAGCCGUCCUGCAUGCUGAAUGCUCACCAGGAAACUGAUGGUUGCCUCUUUUUAACAGGGGGAUAAAGGCGAUGCUGGUGUGCCAGGCGCUGAGGGACAGCAAGGUGUUCCAGGUAUUCGAGGUCUCACAGGUGAGAUGGGACCAACAGGACCUUCGGGGGAGAGGGGACACCCAGGACAAAAAGGGGCCACAGGACCAAAAGGACCUCCGGGUAUCCAAGGCCCCAGGGGACCGCCAGGAGCAGAAGGACCAGAGGGCUCGAAGGGGAGUCCUGGUGAUCAUGGCACGACCGGGUCGGCAGGACCUGCAGGUGAAAAGGGGGCACAAGGAGAACCUGGGUUUCCAGGAAUGCAAGGUGCUAUGGGGCUGCCUGGGUUCAAAGGUCAUAAGGCAAGUUUGA